rnacentral:rRNA from 1 species
UACAGAGGGGGCGAGCGUUGUUCGGAAUUACUGGGCGUAAAGGGCGCGUAGGCGGCCCGCUAAGUCGAACGUGAAAUCCCCAGGCUCAACCUGGGAACUGCGUCCGAUACUGGCAGGCUUGAAUCCGGGAGAGGGAUGUGGAAUUCCAGGUGUAGCGGUGAAAUGCGUAGAUAUCUGGAGGAACACCGAUGGCGAAGGCAGCUCGCUGGGACGGUACUGACGCUGAGGCGCGAAAGCGUGGGGAGCGAACAGG